UUGCACAAUGGGCGCAAGCCUGAUGCAGCCAUGCCGCGUGUAUGAAGAAGGACCUUCGGGUUGUAAAGUACUUUCAGCAGUGAGGAAGGUGGGUAUGUUAAUAGCAUAUUCAUUUGACGUUAGCUGCAGAAGAAGCACCGGCUAACUCCGUGCCAGCAGCCGCGGUAAUACGGAGGGUGCGAGCGUUAAUCGGAAUUACUGGGCGUAAAGCGCAUGCAGGUGGUUUGUUAAGUCAGAUGUGAAAGCCCGGGGCUCAACCUCGGAAUUGCAUUUGAAACUGGCAAACUAGAGUACUGUAGAGGGGGUAGAAUUUCAGGUGUAGCGGUGAAAUGCGUAGAGAUCUGAAGGAAUACCGGUGGCGAAGGCGGCCCCCUGGACAGAUACUGACACUCAGAUGCGAAAGCGUGGGGAGCAAACAGGAUUAGAUACCCUGGUAG
rnacentral:rRNA from 1 species